rnacentral:rRNA from 1 species
GGUCUCCUACGGGAGGCAGCAGUGGGGAAUAUUGCGCAAUGGGCGAAAGCCUGACGCAGCGACGCCGCGUGAGUGAAGAAGUAUUUCGGUAUGUAAAGCUCUAUCAGCAGGGAAGAAAAUGACAGUACCUGACCAAGAAGCCCCGGCUAACUACGUGCCAGCAGCCGCGGUAAUACGUAGGGGGCAAGCGUUAUCCGGAUUUACUGGGUGUAAAGGGAGCGUAGACGGUUAUGUAAGUCUGGAGUGAAAGCCCGGGGCCCAACCCCGGGACUGCUUUGGAAACUGUGUAACUGGAGUACAGGAGG